rnacentral:tRNA from 1 species
GCCCGAAUGGUGGAAUAGUUAGACACGCCGGACUUAAAAUCCUGUGGACCGAAAGGUCCGUACCGGUUCGACCCCGGUUUCGGGUACCA